rnacentral:sRNA from 1 species
UUAACUUUGUGGAUGUGUUCUUUAUGUUACGCUCUUCCUUCUUCUUCCCAGGGUAUAGUUAAUAAAGUGUCUUCUAGCCACAUUGGCUGUUUAGUACAUGGGUGUUUCAAUGCCUCCAUUCCUAAACCUGAGCAGUUGUCAGCGGAGCAGUGGCAAACCAUGGAGAUAAACAUGGGUGAUGAACUAGAAUUUGAAGUAUUUCGUUUAGACUCAGAUGCUGCUGGAGUAUUCUGCAUUCGGGGAAAACUAAAUAUCACAAGUUUACAAUUCAAGCGCUCUGAAGUUUCUGAAGAAGUUACAGAAAAUGGCACUGAGGAAGCUGCUAAAAAACCUAAAAAGAAGAAAAAGAAGAAAGACCCAGAGACAUAUGAAGUGGACAGUGGUACCACAAAGCUAGCAGAUAAUGCAGAUGACACUCCAAUG